rnacentral:rRNA from 1 species
GACGAACGCUGGCGGCGUGCUUAACACAUGCAAGUCGAACGGUGAAGCGCCUUCCUUUUUGGUGGGUGUGGAUGAGUGGCGAACGGGUGAGUAACACGUGAGUAACCUGCCCCCUUCUUCUGGAUAACCGCAUGAAAGUGUGGCUAAUACGGGUUAUUCUGGGUCUGUCGCAUGAUGGGUCUGGGAAAGAUAUUGUUUCGGUGGGGGAUGGGCUCGCGGCCUAUCAGCUUGUUGGUGGGGUGAUGGCCUACCAAGGCGGUGACGGGUAGCCGGCCUGAGAGGGUGGACGGUCACACUGGGACUGAGACACGGCCCAGACUCCUACGGGAGGCAGCAGUGGGGAAUAUUGCACAAUGGGCGCAAGCCUGAUGCAGCGACGCCGCGUGAGGGAUGGAGGCCUUCGGGUUGUGAACCUCUUUCGCCAGUGAAGCAGGCCUGCCUCGUUUGUGGGUGGGUUGACGGUAGCUGGAUAAGAAGCGCCGGCUAACUACGUG